GUCGUCGUCGCAUCUCUUUUCUUUGCAUCGAUCCUAGAGCUCUCAAGUCGAAGAUAUGGGCGGCUUGCUUGGGAAAUACCUCUUCGGGGUGAUUGCUGCCGUACUCGCUACGCUGAUUGUGGCCCCAAAUGAAGCUGGGGCAAUUCCACCUAUUGGCCUCGAUACUCUUAUAAAGGCCAUAGGACGAAAUGAAGACAAUGUCGAGUAACGAAGCAUCAGUGUUCGGGAUACAGUGCUGCUGGUUUGCGGUCUAUUGACGACACCUGCUACGGAAGUGAAUGAAAUGAACGAAGCAAGAAAUGCCCUGGAAUGAAUAAACAGUAUAUUAUUGGA